UAAUCGCGGCCUUUCAUGGCCGAAGCCGCGGGAAAAUACGUUGAAACUGCCAAAGGAACCGAAGCUUCCGGGCUUUGAUUCUCCUUUCUCUCUUAGCUUUUCGAGAAACUACCAGAGGGAGAUUGCUGAAUCCGAGAAGAAGCUGCCGACACUGGUGAGACGCCGUAACGUGGCCGAAAUCGGAUAACCCGUCGCCGGUCGUUUGGAGUAGGGACGACUGGGCUUCGCUUCCUGCUACCGAGACAAGUCGAAGGGCGUCAGUGCGACGCCUUGAAGUUGCUGAAAAGUGGAAUAGAUGUUGAAUCGUGUGAUCGUGUCACUAGAAGGAAACGGGUCGGCGCC
rnacentral:lncRNA from 1 species